AAAAAAAACCAUCGACCCCAUCAUGCGUUGCCCACUCCCAUCGAUCCCAUCUAUCGUUUCCGCCGCCGCCGCCGCCGCUAAAAAACUCCAUCGAUCCCCAUCCUUGCUUGCCCACUCCCAUCGAUCGUUGCCACCGCCGCCGCCGCCGCUGCAAGGUAUGGCGGUUUGAAUCCCGCCCCCGCCUCUGCAAGGCAGGGCGGUUUCAAUCCCACCGCCGCCGAACUCCGGGAAUCGCCGCCGCCAAGUCUUCAGGGCAGGGCGGUUUCAAACCCUGCCGACGAACUCCGGGAUACGCAUAAUCGUCGCUGCCGCCCCCUCCCCCGGCUGCCCCAUGGUCUUCUAUCUCUCCCAACUCCGCUAUCGCGCCCCGUCUUCCGUCUCUGCAUGAAUCGCUGUUGUGGCAGCCACUCCCCAUGGCGGCCAUCCGGGCACACCGUGUCCGGGAUGAUGGAGGUGAUGUCGGCCAGUUCCCUGUUUCCGUUGGCAUCUUCUGCGAUGGGACCCGUGGGGGCAGGUCGCGCGCUGCUCAUCUGCGUCGAUGGCGUCGGCGUCGUCCUUCCCCUGCCAAGCAUGGCGGCUCCUUGGCUGGAUCACAGUGAUGAUACAGUUGGCUCGGCGGUGGCUAGGGAUCUCGCAGGCUGGCGUUUAUUUGAUGUCUGGGUGUUCCAAUCGUGAUGGAAUGGACGUAUAAUGUACGGUAUAAGAAUUUGGACGAGGCUCAUCUGCGUGGAUGGUUGUGGCUUGGCCGCCGGGCACACAAUCCAUUGAUUCACACAUAAGACCGUAGCCAUCUACACCAAGGCUCCUCUGCCCUACCAAGUCUUGCAAGCGAUCGUCGUAAGAAAUAUUCCGUGUGAUGCUGGCAUGUGUUGUUGUUGCACUGUCGCAACCAUCCAUCUACACACCAAAUGUCAAAACCGAGUCGCGGUGUUCACAAUGCUGGGCAUUAUUUAUAUAGAAGGACGAGGAGGAAGAUUUGGAUGACCAUAACCACAAUGGCAAGGGCAGCAACAUGGUCGUCACCUGCAAUGCUGAUGGGUGCUGACAUUAUGAUGUUUGGUUUAUUUGUUGAAAGUUACAGCCCAUGUUUCAUGAUUUAUUUGCCACCUGUUAAUCAUGAUAUUUUGAAGUGCUCUGACAAUUGCUUGCUGUCUGCAUCUCUUACUUUUCAACUUGCUGCAUAUACAGAUAUACACCAUUAGAAUCUGUUUGUACAAUAUAUUUACUUAUUCAACAUGCUUCCGUUGCGCUUCUUUGAAAAUCCAGUUGUAGAUUGCAGUGAAGCCCCAUUUAGAUCUUGGCUAUAGUAUUAUUCUUGUCUUAUGACUCGUGACAGAUUGAUAUGUGAUACAUGACAUAGCAUAUGUUGUACCGUGGUAGUCACAUUUGGUGGUAGUUCUGAUUGUUUGCUAGAUUACGAGAUAAGACCAAGUGCUUCUGCAACUCGGUUGCGGUUUUGAUAGGAACAUGAAGACUUGUGCCAUGCCAUGGAGCAUGUUUGAUUAAAAGGACAUAGUUGCUCCAAUAUAUUGAGCAGGGAAGAAGUUUGUUACAAGUGUUUUAUAGAGUUGACGCCAGAGACAUCCGACGGGAUACAUUGGUGAAGGAAUCGACGAAGAAGCUUCCGUUCAGCAUGGUAUCUCAAUGGAAGAAUAUCCGAAGCAAACCUCCGCUACUUCUCUGUUCCCUUUCAUUUGUCGUGGGAAGACCUUAGGAAGUUUCGUGUUUCAAUGACGCGUGGAGGACGACGGUCACGAGCGCAUUGUCGCAAGCUCACAGGAGGGAGGCACACAUCUCAUCCAAUAUAAAAGCACGCUCCGAAGAAUCCCUAACCCUCCAUGGAGCCAUUGCUAGGGGGCGUCGAGAUCAACGCCACCCAUCACGACCACCGAGAUGUAGAAGUGCGGUGAUUUCUUGCCUCGCGUAUAACAAUGUGUGUUCAAUGGGUCGCCUCUUCCCACUCACAAGUCUCAGAGGGAGACAACGACAGCUAUUCAGAAUAACUACAACAAAAUUGUGACACAGGUGGUUACUGGGAGAAGGAACCUGAUACCGCAGCCGAUUCUGCAGCAAGGGUGGUGCGUAGAAGAUAGUUGUAGCAAGCAUAUAUAUAAGUCACUCUGGAAAAAGUGUGUAGUUAUUGUUGUAAUAGAGAUCCAUUCAUUCAUUCUUUUGAUCCUUAUUCCCCUCAACUCAGAUUCAUUUUAUUUUGUACUUAUGCAUGAUUUUGAUGGAUCAA